AGGACGAACGCUGGCGGCGUGCUUAACACAUGCAAGUCGAGCGGUAAGGCUCCUUCGGGAGUACACGAGCGGCGAACGGGUGAGUAACACGUGAGCAAUCUGCCCUUCACUCUGGGAUAACCCCCGGAAAACGGGAGCUAAUACCGGAUACGACCACCUCAGGCAUCUGAUGGUGGUGGAAAGUUCCGGCGGUGAAGGAUGAGCUCGCGGCCUAUCAGCUUGUUGGUGAGGUAAUGGCUCACCAAGGCUUCGGACGGGUA
rnacentral:rRNA from 1 species